ensembl:lncRNA
CAGUCGGCAUGGACUCUCUGCUGUCCUCCUCGUCUGGUUCUGCAGAAGAGAGGCUCUGGUGGGCCGCAGGGUCUCAGCGUUUGCUGCAGUCUCACGCGUCAGACGCGUCUCAGUUCGUGGAGUACAGGCCUCCUGCGCGUGACUCCAUCUCUGUGCCGCCGCAUGUGCUGUACAUCACCGUGGGACUGGUGCUGGUGGUUGUGGCCACAUAUGCGAUAGUAGGUCACCUGAUCCAUGACCUGAUCCAUGACCUGGCAGACUGGGUCUUUGGCCCUAAACCUGAAGCUGGUGAUGCUGAGCGCGGCGGUGAAGAGGAGAGGGUUCUGAUGGAGGAAGAGCGAGCCGGUCUGCUGCCGGGAUUCAUCACCACCGAACACUAUCACACAGGGUCCGGCCUUCAUUACAUCACUUCACUAUGAGUCUACACACAGUCUGUGCCAGCUGUCACCAUUCUGGCUUAAGUUUUCACUUCGUUUUUAACAUGUUUUUAACAUACCAGAUGCUCUAUUAGCUGCUGUAGAACAGUGAAGGAUAGAUAGCAGUCUUUCAGUAUGGAAAGAGGACGUGGUCAUGUGAUCGUUGUGAUGUCAUCAUUGUAACUGCUGCUUCUGUGAUGCCAUUAAAAUGAAUUCUGGCACUGUAUAUAUACAUAUAACAGAAGGCAUAAAUGAUGCAAGUGUGAUACAGAAUUAAAGUCUCUCCUCAUUAGGAAC